GUUUCUCUUGCUCACGGGCCUCUCCAUUCCUUAGGGGAGCUGGAGAAGCAGCAGGGAACAAAGACACUCUCCUUCAAGCCCAGCGGAGCCCAGGGGGACCCCCAGUCAAAGCAAGGAUCGCCGACAGCCAAAAGGGAAGCUGCGCUCAGGGAGAGGCCGGCGGAGAGCACGGUGGAGGUAUUAAUCAAUGCCUCCCCAGCCCGACUCACCAUUUUACCAAUUUCAAGAGAUACAAUUAAAAGUUACUGCUAGCAUGGGUAAUGCCACUGUUCCAGAGCCUAAUUAAGCCACGAGCUCUUUCUCCCCUUUCCCCAGCCUGCUGCCCUCCGAGGCCGAGCUCCCAGACUAACACAGUGGAGACGGAGCUCACGACACCCUAGGGCCAUCCUUCCUGUGU
rnacentral:sRNA from 1 species